UACUAUUAUAGAUAGCGAUAAACUGUAAACAGCAAUAAUGUUCAGCAAAGUAAGAUCUACAAAUAAGUCAACAUAACUUAAAUGGUCAAUUGACCCCUUAAGGAGUUAUUGCCCUUUAUAGUCAAUUUUUAACAAUUUUCAUUAAUUUGGUAAAUUUAUGUAAAUUUUUACCAAAUAUAGUUCUCUGUUACUAACGGGCAAAGUUCAUUAUAGAUAUAAUUGUAAGAAGCAAAAUCGUUCAGUAAAGUAAGAACUUCAAACACAUCACCAUCACCAAAAUACAAUUUUGUCAUGAAUCCAUUUGUGUCCUUUGUUUAAUAUGCACAUAGACCAAGGUGAGCGACACAGGCUCUUUAGAGCCUCUAGUUUGUUUUACUUUAUAUAUUUAUUCAUCAUGUUGAAAUGUACUAACAUUAUAUACAAUAUAUAAAAUUUAACAAACUUACAUUAUAUAAGAUGGCAACAUAUUGCUUAUUAAACAUAUAAUUGAUAGAAAUUAAACAUUAAAUAAAAGUUUGCUUUUAAAAAGCUUUGUUUACAUGAGACAAUCCAAUAAAAUUUACGUUAACUAGACAUUAUUCUAUUAUUUCUCUCCUCCAGAUAAGAGAGACAUAGUUUAAGAAUGAUUUCUUCUAUUUAAUGGUCUUCCCAUACAACUGGGGCCUAUGUGAGAGUUGUCUUAGUAGUUUAACUUCUGUUAUCAUUAGUCAGUCAACACUGAUAUUUUGAGUUCGAACCCUUCUCGUGCGUGUGCAUUCAACUCUAAUCUUCAUUGACUAGGAUUGUUACAUUUCUUAUUUAAGGUCAGUGGUUUUCUUUGACUGCUGCUUCCUACUCCAAUUAAAACUGGCCGCAAUUAAAUAGCAGAAUAGUGCUGAAAGUGGCGUUAAACACCAAUCAAUCUUAUACAACCUGGUGAGGCUGCUAUUUUGUAACUUUUAGAGUAGUUUUUGGUAUGGAGGUGUAUCACCAUAUAACUGUCAACAUACAGGUUAAGUUAAUGAAUUAUCUGAGGAAGAAAAGACUCAAAGCCAACAAAUUGUAAAUAGAUAAUUAUCAUUGACAACCUCUCGUACUGUUACAGUCGUCUUAAACUCCUAUGCUUAAAGACAAUGGCCUAAAUGGUAAUAUGUUAUUUUAAUUCAAUUAUAGUCUUUUUUAUAAGAAUUGUUCUUACUUAUUUACUGAUGGAGUUUAUUAAUAUGUUUUAGCUCUUUGUUAAAGUUAUUAAUGUUGAUUAUGAUAAUUUUAUUGUUGUGCCAUAUGUUUAAGAUGGUCCAGUUGUUGGUCAUUGUGGACCUUUAUUUUCUCUGUGUAUGAUAUAAAAUGUCUUUUAACACUUGUACUCAUCACUAAAGGCUCGUGAAAAUGUCUCAGACUAUCCAUUCUGGACAAAAUUUUCCAACUGUGAAAUCCAACAAGUAUACUAUAUUUUUUUUUUUUUAAUUAGACGAACAGACAGUCUAAAGAUCUCAUUACAAUAUUUUCAGUUUAUUUUUACAAUUGCCAAUUUUACUUUUCAUAAUCACAAAUUUCCCAUUAGCUUAAAGGGCUUCCUUGACCUGUUGAACCCUUAAAAUUCCCACCUCAUUUGCAGAAACUAUAACUACUUGUCUCCCCUUACGUAUGUUUGUGUCUCAUGUGCCCCUCUGGAAUUACGUUGAUAAAGUUAUAACAUCAGUGAUUCCCGGUGAGAAGAUUUCAUUUUUUAUAUAUGACAAUUUUUGUCCCAUUAUUGUUUUGUAAUGAAAUACAAUACCAGAUUUUGAGAAAGGGUUUCCAUUUUCAGAUUCUCAGGAAAGUGAAUGUGUUCUGAUAGUGUAGAAAAAUGUAUCGGUUGUUAUGUUUAAUGUAGAGUGUUCUGAGUACAAAAACUUGUGAAUGGAAGGAAAACUUGUAUUGUAUGUACAUAUGCCUGCUACAUACAUGUAUUUGCUUUGAUCACAUAUUAAAAAUAACACGUUCAAUAUUAGAAUUCAGUGUAUUUGAUAUUCAUGUUGCUAUCAGCAGGAAUAAGUUACUGUGGAUUCAUUUAUUAUCGUGGGUGUCAAUUUUUGUGGUUUGUCUUGUCUUGUCUCCGUAUGAAGCUCCUUUAAAUAGGAGCACCACCAGGAGUUAUGGCGUAUAAAGGAGGACAUUUGGAGCCUGCAUCGAUACAGAUUAAUGUGAGCAUUUGCCUACCCAAUUCCCCAACCAGGCCGUGACGGGUCUUAUUACCAGAAAGUUAACCUUCCCCAAACAUGAUACAAUGCAAUCAAAUAAAUAAUACUAAGAAAAACUUGUGUUUUUGUGGAUAUUUGAUUUUGUGGUUUUGCCAAUCACUUCAUACAAAGCCUAUAGAAAGUUUGUUAUUCGUUAAACAUUUGACCAAUGAAACCCAAGAAAAUUGGUAUCCAACGAAUUUUAAUGAAUCCACAGUGGUACAUGUCUCAGGUUGUAUAGAAUAUAACUGAUUCUCUGGUUACAUAGAUGCCUUAAAACAUGACAGGUAUGAUAGUCAAACAUCUUUUUAAUCAUAGAUGUUUAUUUACAUUACCAAAGUUCACUUCUUUCAUAAUGAGUAUUACUUAACACAUAUGAAUUUCAGUCAUAUUUAAAGUAACGACAAAGAAAUUAAAUGUUUUAUCCUAUUCUAAAAUAGUUUCAAGCAGAUCAAUUAUUGUCUUACAUUUGCCCUAAUAUCAAUAUUUAGUAUUAUUGAUCAAUAUCAGUGUUUUGUGUUGAUGUAUUUUGACCAUAUAUGUAUUGAGUGUUUUUUGACAAAUGUGAUACAUGUACAUUACUAUUUUUUUUAAAUGUUUACAAUUAUGCUUGCUAUUAGAAUUAUCUUGUUAACGCAAUUGUGCUUGAUAAUACAAGUUAUAUUGUUUGCUAAUACACAUUAUAUUGUUUGCAGUUGUGCUUCUUAUACAAAUUAUAUUGUUUACAGUUGCGCUUGCUAAUACAAAUUGUUUACCAUAUUAUUUUAAGAAUUGUCAGUCAAGAAGCAUUAGUUUUGAAUCUACAGCCUGCACUAUUUUUUUUCAUUAUAGCUCACUUCUAUUUUUGCAAAGGGCUGUUCCAAAAAUAAAUGUAUGUGGGGGUGGUGGGGUGUCAGGAGGCACUUUUUGUUUGACCCCACCAUACAUUUAUUUUUAAUUGGAUAUUUCCUUUAAAUAUACAAGCAAGCUUUCUUAAAUAUCCACCAUCUAUAAAUACUUUCCACUUUUUACAUUGUAUUAAAUUCUCAUAAAAUUUUCACUCAUGAGCCUCCAAAGUUGUAAAGUUGCUGAAAAAUGUGUAUCAUCUUUGACAAUUUUGAACAUGCUUCCUCGACUUUAAUCAUUUUAUAUCUUGACUGGCGUUAAUUACAUCAAUGCAUAUCAGUACUGUUCAACACAGAACAUACAUACAUUUAUUUUUAAUUGGAUAUUUCCUUUAAAUAUACAAGCAAGCUUUCUUAAAUAUCCACCAUCUAUCAAAUUUUAAUGAUGUUUUUGCAGAGAUUUAUAAUCUAUGUUGCUUAAGACCUAGUUAGUUAUGUAUUUCUCAGAUAGUUAUUCUAAAUGUUGUGUCUGAGAACAAGAUAUUGGUCUAAACUGUGAAUUAUUUUUUAUAUAUAUCAUUUUAUCAUGUGAUAUUUUUGCUAGUCAUUUUGAUUUUGUUUUCUUUUUUAUUGACAAGACUAGAAUCGUGUUUUUAACACUGAAUUCCCAUUUUUUGACUGGGAACAGAACAUAUACAUCACCAUUAAAUUUAUCCACCAGUUUGUUAAUCAUAAGCUAAAUGCUUAACUUGAAAGAAAAAAGCACAAAGAAGAUGGCACAUUUUGCCGAGAAAAAACAUCAGAAGAUAUGAAUUUUUUUUUGCAAACACCAGAACAUUAAGAUAGUAUACAUAAUUAAGACAAAUAAGUGCUUAGAAUUAACAAAAACACACUGAAAUUCAAGUCAACAGUCUUUUGAAAAGAUUGACAGUUUAUAAAUAAACAGUAUUAAACAUUUUAUUUAAAUUUUAUAAGAUGACUUAAACUACAAUCAUUCAUGUACUUAAGAAAGUUUGUAAUAGAAUUGUUUUUCUAAUUUUUAUUGCAAUUAUGCUUAGACAUAGUCUUACGUAAAUUUCUUCUUCAUUCCAUGAAUUUAUAAAGCUUUUUUUUUCUGUACAAUUGCGUUUUAAACUUUUGCUAAAACUAAGUAAAACAUAAGACUUACGCACUAGUACACUAAAAGACUAUGUUAUUAGUAUUGAAAGGAUCACAAGUCUAAAAACUUUGAAAAAAGCAUGUAGUUCUGUGGAUCUGUUUAUUUGUGUGUGCACUAAUUUUCAUAAUUUUAGAGAAAAUUGGAAAUUUUGUGAAUUUUUAAUUUCUACGUUUUAUUGCCUAAAAGCCUACACCCAGAAACUCAUUUUAGUGAUUACAUUUGGUCAAUAACAUUACACAUAUGGUGCACUGUAAAUAUUGUUCCCUUUAACCAAUUGAUUAGGCUCAAGUAUCUUUUAAUCCUUGUAGGAAAAGCUUUUGCUUAGCUAUCCUGUAUUACCAGAGAGUCAUUUAUUUUGUAUUGCCUUUCAACUUGGUAAACAAAAUUUAUUAUUUCCAUGUAAAUUGUUGUCCAUUAUUUUGGUUCGUUUGGGAUACAUUUGCUUUAUUUUGUUUGCUGUAUUUUUGUAACAAAUCUGUCAUGUAAAAUUCCAGUUUAUAAGUUAAAAGAUAGUAUAUCAUACCAUGAUAUUCAGUGAUUUAAUGGUUAAGGGUACAUGCUUUGGUAGAGAUUUAGGGGCAAAAACAGUUGAAAGAAGAAAUUAUUGUGUGCAUUUAUUUUUGUGAUUUUUGUAGAAAGGACAACAAUGCGAGAUUUAUUAUUGUGAUUUCAGGAAAAUCUGUGUACUAAUAAGGGGGUCUCAUUGGGGGGUUCCGAUCCCGGAUCCCGCUUACUGUUUUGUCAGAUUCCCGUAUCCCGCUUACACUAUGUACGUAAGCAAUUCUCAUUUUUUUUGUCAUUUCCCAGGUCCCCCUAGACCUCAUUUCCCGUUUUCACGACACAGUAAUUUGACUUUCCCGUGUCACGCUUACCAAAAAUCGGCAAUCCCGCGUCACGCUUAGACCCCAAUGAGACCCACUAAUAAUGUAUCAGAUAUCAGAAUGUGAGUUCUUAUUGAGUGACUAUCAUCUGAUUACAUAAUUCAUAAUAAUGAAAACAUCAUGGAGACACAAUAAUUUACAAAAUUUCCAAUACUUGAUAUCAAUACAGUGUUAUUGUUAUUUGAAAUACAGUGUAACCUGUAUUAUCUAACACACUAGGAGACCAGGAAGAAAUGUUGAAUUAAACAGGGUGUCAUAAUACUCCGUUUUUUUUUGCAUGGAUAGGCAUUUUUUUUUGGACCAUAAAAAUGUGUUAGUUAAAGCAAGAUGUUGGAAUACUCAGGUGUUGGAUUAAGCAGGUUACACUGUAAUAUAAACAAGUAGAAUGGUAUUGAUUUAUUUUACCAUGUUAUUUUAUCUCUGUUUUGCUAUUGUAAGGAACCAGACAAGUGUAGUGCAAUGAAAGAGUAUUUUUGUUCUUUUAAGUAGUCUCCCUUAUGCACAGUUCUUUGAAGAUUAAGAUUAGGACAAAACAAAGUCCUCUAUAUAAUGAAUGUGUAUUAUGGAGUAGUUAUUCACAGUUAUGAAUAAGGAAUCUGUAUUGUAAUAAACAAAGUUGGUACAGUAAUGUUAUUUGUAAACAAUCAUGCAUAAAGAUGUAAAUUUUAACUGAUUGAGCUAAUAAAACAUCAUUU
rnacentral:lncRNA from 1 species